rnacentral:rRNA from 1 species
AUUGAACGCUGGCGGCAUGCCUUACACAUGCAAGUCGAACGGCAGCGGACCUUCGGGUGCCGGCGAGUGGCGAACGGGUGAGUAAUAUAUCGGAACGUACCUUUCAGUGGGGGAUAACGUAGCGAAAGUUACGCUAAUACCGCAUAUUCUGUGAGCAGGAAAGCAGGGGGAUCGCAAGACCUUGCGCUGAUUGAGCGGCCGAUAUCAGAUUAGCUAGUUGGUGAGGUAAAGGCUCACCAAGGCGACGACCUGUAGCGGGUCUGAGAGGAUGAUCCGCCACACUGGAACUGAGACACGGUCCAGACUCCUACGGGAGGCAGCAGUGGGGAAUUUUGGACAAUGGGCGCAAGCCUGAUCCAGCCAUGCCGCGUGAGUGAAGAAGGCCUUCGGGUUGUAAAGCUCUUUCGGCCGGGAAGAAAUCGCACGGGUUAAUACCCUGUGUGGAUGACGGUACCGGAAUAAGAAGCACCGGCUAACUACGUG